GACGAACGCUGGCGGCGUGCUUAACACAUGCAAGUCGAACGGAAAGGCCCUGCUUUUGUGGGGUGCUCGAGUGGCGAACGGGUGAGUAACACGUGAGUAACCUGCCCUUGACUUUGGGAUAACUUCAAGAAACUGGGGCUAAUACCGGAUAGGAGCUCCUGCUGCAUGGUGGGGGUUGGAAAGUUUCGGCGGUUGGGGAUGGACGCGCGGCUUAUCAGCUUGUUGGUGGGGUAGUGGCUUACCAAGGCUUUGACGGGUAGCCGGCCUGAGAGGGUGACCGGCCACAUUGGGACUGAGAUACGGCCCCGACUCCUACGGGAGGCAGCAGUGGGGAAUAUUGCACAAUGGGCGGAAGCCUGAUGCAGCAACGCCGCGUGCGGGAUGACGGCCCUCGGGUUGUAAACCGCUUUCGCCUGUGACGAAGCGUGAGUGACGGUAAUGGGUAAAGAAGCACCGGCUAACUACGUG
rnacentral:rRNA from 1 species